rnacentral:miRNA from 1 species
ACAAACCUAGAACUGCCCCAU